CCGCCGCCGCCGCCGCCGCCGCCUCGCUCUCCCCAGCCGGCGACCUCCCUCUCCCCAGCCAGCGUCCUCCUCCCCCUCUUCUCUUCCCCACCGCUGACCUCGUCCGUGCCCCUCUCCUCCACCGCUCCCGCCGCCCCCCACUCACCUUCUCCCCCUUAGAUCGAGCAGGGCGGCCAUGGCGGUGCUGCCAGUGGUCCCUGCUCGAGCUCCCCACGGCGGCGGAUCCACGACGAAGGCAUCAUCACGAAGCAAGCGGAUCUGAACCCUAGCCGCAUCGGGUCACCGGCGUGGCUCCCGCAACUCCGUCGGCCGACCGCAUCAAAGGGCUGGCCUCCAGCGCCAGCUCCAUCACCAGGAAGAAGAAGAAGGCAGAAGAAAGUUCCCCACCUGUCGCUGGUGUCACGGUGCUAGGGACUGAGCCACAGUACCUACCUCUGCCGGCCAACCGCAUCAAGGGGCUCUCCUCCAGCGCCAGCUUCAUCACCAGGAAGAAGAAGGCAGGAUGAGACGAUGAUCAUGACAUGGAUCUGUUCGGCGAUGAGACAAAGGAGGACAAUAAAGUAGCAGCUGAGCGUGCAGCUGCCAAGCCUGCAAAGAAGAAAGAAAGUGGCAAGUCCUCUGUCCUC